AUGAGUAUAAUAAUUGCAAAUAUGAGUAUAAAAAGCACAACGAGAUGCAGUAAAACAAUGACAAGGCUUGAUUUUUUUUAUUCUGUAGAAAAAUGUUUGUGCAAAUUCAGUAAUUCCACUGAAGAGAUAAUUUUCCAGCUCUGUUCAAUAAAGCCUCUUUCCAGUCUCUGUAGGAAUUUUUUCCCCAUUGAGAAGGAGACUGGAAUGUUGAGUGCUUGGACAAGUGAAUCUCGAGCUUUGCUCGCCUCCAAGGUCAUGGCUACAAGUGGAGAAAUUCCUGCCAAUCCCUUGCGAUCCAGGAUUUGUGCAGGAAACUUUCACCUUCCACAGAUGGGAGGGAAAAACAGGAUCACUGCAACAAGCACGCCUGAGGAAUUUUUUGGGUGGAUACAGCCACAAAAGGGAUUGGAGAAACACAAAUUCUUGAGAGUUGGGAUCAAGAGCCUCAGCACCUUCUCAGGAACGCUCAGAUCUGCUGCACACUCCAACUGCAAAGGGGACAAACGUGGUAUUUGUGUCUGUAAAUACCCUAUAAAUACCUGUAAUUGGAUGUAUUUAAUGUAAAUACGAUGACGAGGACAUUUUAACGAUCUCCACUGUUGUACAGAACCCAAACUUGCUCUCUUAUUUUCCUACACCCCCACUGUAGAUUGAUUUUGGGUCAUUGUUGGGUCUGUAUCUGGUUGAGUUCCAAACUGCUCUCACUUUUACCUCAAGGGUUUCAUGUUCUUUAUGUACAUUUUAUAAAGAAAAAGAGAAACCACUCUGGAUUUUUGGGUACCUUUUCCAUUGCCAGCACUAUUUUCUGUCUUUUCCAGUUUUUUCUGCUCCCAGAUCCACCGGGAUUGAGGGGAGGGAAUGGGUUUGGUGGGGGAUGGGGAUGUUCCUCAUUCCGUGUGUCCCUGCCUUCCUGGGAGGUGUAAAAAUGUGGGAAUGUGGUUCCCUAUCCCUCUACUUCUUGUUAAGUAUGGAAAGGUCUUAAUUAGAGAGGAAGAAGCUGGGCCACCCUCUUUCCUACUGGGGCCAGCCCUUCCCUUGUCUGGUCCCAGCAGAGUUUUUCCAGCUUCAUGGACAGCUGAGGGUCGAAAUCUUUUUCUUUGGCUUUCCAUAAUUCCCAUUUAAUCCCUGGGAAGUGACCAAAAAUGAAGAUGUGUGUGCCCUGCCAGAGCAGGGUGUUCCCCAGAACUCCUCCUGUGCCAUGAGGGAAUAGAGGGAUGGGCACAUGGAGCUCUCACAGCACCCCCAGAUCCAGCCCGGAUCACUGCAUGAUGAUCCCAAAUUUCUCCUGGUUGUUGGAUACGUGGCCCCAGGGUGGAGGGUGACCAUUGGGACUUUUAGGGUUGACAUCCAUUCUCUGCUGCAGGCAUGGCCUGGGUAUUCCUGGUUUUGUCCAGCUCUUCUACUGGGACUGAACCUUAGAAUGAUGGAAUUGUUUAUGUUGGAAAAAUUCUCGAGGGUGAUUGAGUCCAACAAUUCCUCAGCACUGCCAAGGCCACCCUUGCCCCAUGCCCCCAAGUGCCACAUCCACAGGGAUUUAAAUCCCUUCAGGGAUGGGCACGACACCCCUGCCCUGACAUUCCGCCCUUUCCAUGAAGAAAUUUUCCAUAACAGCCAAAUAAAACCUGCCCCGGCCCAGCCUGAGGCCGUUCC
ensembl:lncRNA